GGGAGAUGGCGAGCAUAGAUGCUGCUCAGGGCAUGCCCGUCGAAUGAAUUAAAAAUGGCCCCUACACGUGAGACCCUCCCUCCAUCCAGAGACACGGACAUGGAAGUCAGUCGCCCAGUAUCUUAGGAUCCAGGCUGUGAGCAAGGUUGGGACAAGAUGCUGUGUGAGCCAAAGGACAGAGCACCCAGAUCUGCUUGGAGAGGCCCCGUCCCAGCUGUGCCCUCCUUCCUCGGGGGUUCUGACAUGCUUCUCGUUGCCAGGGCAUCCUUGCUGCUCUCCUGAAGACCCACCAGGAAGCAGGGUUCUCCUGCCAAAGAGCCACCCCCUCUGCCUGCCUUGCUGACAGCCGGCCUUCACCCAGGCAGAAGAUGAAUGGCAGGAAGCUUCUGGAUUACCUGGAUCCCAGCGUACCCACCCUGUCCCUGCAGUCAGUCUGCCCACACUGUGAGGGUGUCACAGGGGAAACAGAGUCAGGAG
rnacentral:lncRNA from 1 species